AACCACAGGAUUGAUUAAAGGAGCUCAUUUUUAUGGGGGAAGGGUUUCGCUGGUUUCUUGGUGGUUUGUAAUGCUGUUAAGUGUUUUCUGCAACAUUCCAACAGAAUAAUAGAAACAGAAUGGGGUUGCAGUAGGUUGUUUACUUAUGCAAUAGUUUUUUUCCUCCUGUUUUUGGGGUGCUCUUUUUUGAGGCCUUAAAACAUGGUUUGGAGUGUGUAAAGGGUUGGGAUACCCCUUUGUAUCCCUUUUAAUUUAAUUUUAUUCUUUGCUGAUCAAAAAAAAAA
rnacentral:lncRNA from 1 species